CAGAGUGAGAUAUAAAAGGCACAAUUAUCGUUGUCUUUGAAGAGUUUAGAGACAGACAAUGCUAAUCUGUUCUUUUGGAAUUUCUGGUGCUAAGUUCCCUCCCCUGGGCGGCCUGCUCACUCCCUUGCUGUUUUCUGGGCAGGUUUUCCUGUUUAGUAUAAACAUCCCAAAAUGAUGCCGGGAUCUGAUGCUUUCGAGCUUUCUGAAUGAGAAGCCGGCACAUAAGCAUCAAAGAAACAAGGACACAGUUUCCAUCUGUGAUCUCAUUUAUCUAAGAAAAAAUUUUUAAGUUUUCUCAUUCUGAUCUUGGAUGUAAAUCUCUGACGAUCUCCUCUUUCUUGCGUCUGUUUUCCUGACUUCGUCGCUGGGAAGAUUGCCUUAGCCUGUCAAGUGGGACAUUAUUGUUUGUUAUUUAGUGAUAGUUCAUCACAGAAAUUGUUUUGAUAUAUAUUUGGAUUUUUAGAGAUGCUCCUCUUUUUGCGAUUUAACCUACUGAUUUUCUAUUUGGCGUCACUCAGUGAGUUGGAAACUAUGCACGCUGAUGGAAAAAACUGGAAAAGACGGGAUGUGUUUGGUUUGGACGACUCACCCAAAUGAGAGGGAGCCCAGCAUGGGUUUUGCCUGAGUGGUGACCGAAAUUUGGCUCUUGGGUUCACCUGAACAGCCUACCUAUCUGACCUUGACUGCACUUCAGAUACACAAACCAAAUAUCUUUGCUUUGGCUUCUCUUGGGUCCUAUCAAUCUACACCUCAUCGGGAGUAUGAAGUUUGGAAGAACAAAGAAGCAAUUGAGCAUCUUAAAUCCAGCUGUUAAUUUUGGCCUUUGGGAAUGUCAACAAAAGGACUUAAAGUUGUUUGUUUAAUCGUGUUUCAUUGGUACACUCUGUGGUUAGCAGGAAUUUGAGUAAAAGCAGUUGUCUUUUCUAUUGUCAAUACGAGGAAUUUAUAUCUACAAGUGCCAAUUUUUAAAUUUGGGAUUUUUAAAUUACAGUUUUAUAAAAGAAAAUACCUAUCAGAAACGUAGGUGUCAAUUAGCAUUUUAGGAGAUUGAUUUGUUUGAAUAUUGAGAAAUUCAGUUAUAUUUUUAUCUGUCAGUUAAAUAAAUUUUUCUGCGUUUGUAGUAUAAUGUUUCA
rnacentral:lncRNA from 1 species